rnacentral:rRNA from 1 species
UACGAAGGGGGCUAGCGUUGCUCGGAAUCACUGGGCGUAAAGGGUGCGUAGGCGGGUCUUUAAGUCAGGGGUGAAAUCCUGGAGCUCAACUCCAGAACUGCCUUUGAUACUGAGGAUCUUGAGUUCGGGAGAGGUGAGUGGAACUGCGAGUGUAGAGGUGAAAUUCGUAGAUAUUCGCAAGAACACCAGUGGCGAAGGCGAUCACCUGGGGUUGUUCUGACGCUGAGGAGCGAAAGCUAGGGGAGCAAACGGG